AGAGAGAGACAUGCGCGCAUAUCAAUAAGCGGAGGAAAAGAAACUAACAAGGAUUCCCUUAGUAACGGCGAGUGAAGCGGGAAGAGCUCAAAUUUGAAAUCUUCAAGGUUUUACCCUUGACGAAUUGUAGUUUAAAGAAGUGUUUUCUGCUGAAGUUUUGGUAAAAGUUCUUUGGAAUAGGACAUCAUAGAGGGUGAGAAUCCCGUAUUUGACCAUUAUUUUCAGCUUUGUGAUACACUUUCAAAGAGUCGGAUUGUUUGGGAAUGCAGUCCAAAAUGGGUGGUAAAUUUCAUCUAAAGCUAAAUAUUGGCGAGAGACCGAUAGCGAACAAGUACCGUGAGGGAAAGAUGAAAAGAACUUUGAAAAGAGAGUUAAACAGUACGUGAAAUUGUCAAAAGGGAAGCGUUUGACACCAGUGUUGUUUUCCUCGAAAAUCAAUUAAAAAUGGCUCGAUUUUGUAUUGCUUGAGACCUUAAAAGCUCACUGUACAUUUUUCGUGUCUUUUUUAAUGCACUUUUCGUUUAACAAGUCAACAUCAGUUUCUUUUGUUGUAAAAGGGUCAUUGGAAGGUGACUUUCUUUUCGGAGAAAGUGUUUAUAGCCUUUGGCCUCUGCAAUCGGAAGAGACUGAGGUCUGCAGCGUAGACUCUUCGGGGUUAGAUACAUUUGUGCUAAGUUAUAGCUUUUUAUAGACAACUUGUUGACUAUAAUUAGUCUUGUAGCUUACUCGCUUAUGCUAUUUUACCUACGCUUAGGAUGUUGAAGUCAUCGUAUCGCGC
rnacentral:rRNA from 1 species